rnacentral:rRNA from 1 species
AUUGAACGCUGGCGGCAGGCUUAACACAUGCAAGUCGAGCGGAGAGAGGUAGCUUGCUACUGAUCUUAGCGGCGGACGGGUGAGUAAUGCUUAGGAAUCUGCCUAUUAGUGGGGGACAACAUUUCGAAAGGAAUGCUAAUACCGCAUACGUCCUACGGGAGAAAGCAGGGGAUCUUCGGACCUUGCGCUAAUAGAUGAGCCUAAGUCGGAUUAGCUAGUUGGUGGGGUAAAGGCCUACCAAGGCGACGAUCUGUAGCGGGUCUGAGAGGAUGACCCGCCACACUGGGACUGGAACACGGCCCAGACUCCUACGGGAGGCAGCAGUGGGGAAUAUUGGACAAUGGGCGGAAGCCUGAUCCAGCCAUGCCGCGUGUGUGAAGAAGGCCUUAUGGUUGUAAAGCACUUUAAGCGAGGAGGAGGCUACUUUAGUUAAUACCUAGAGAUAGUGGACGUUACUCGCAGAAUAAGCACCGGCUAACUCUGUGCCAGCCGCCGCGGUAACAC